AAAAGAUAUGAAGAGAUAUUAAGAUUAAAUAGAUAUGGUUGCAAAGCCAAAAUUAAGGAAAUUAUGUAUUGGAGGAUUAUAAAUAAGGAUUUUAGGAUUUGAUGGAUUUUUUUUAAAAUAGAAAGAAGGGAUAUGAUUGGAUUAAUUGAGAAAUAAGAAGAUAUUGAUUGAUUUUAAUUAAAAUAGUCUUUAUCCCUUUGAAUAGAUUUUUUUUAUAGGCUAUAAAAAUUAUUUCUCUAAAAGUUUAGACCUCAUAAGAAAAUCAACAAUAUUAGUUUUUAUUUUUAUACUUGGCAAUUGAAAAAGGGAGAGGUGUAAAGUUAUUUGGAUCAACAAAAAGGGUUGGAGAUUUGAAAUAAGUUUUCUAGAUUAGCUAGGAGGGGUGGAAUAAAAUGAACUCAAGCUGAGUUGGGAGAUUGAAGAGUUUUGAUGUCUAGAUUUUAUUGUUUAUGAAUAUUGUAAUCGUGGAUUAUUUAUAAGACGUUAUUACGUUUAAUUAUUAUUAUUAUUAUUUUUUUU